rnacentral:lncRNA from 1 species
GAGCGUUAUAAAUUGAUGCUCGACGGUGAAGUCGGUUAUAUCGGCAGUGUACCUACCCAGCAUGGAGUUCACGGAACCUUGUUCUUUCUACGAUUCAUCUGGAAUUAGAAAGUUCGUUAUGUAUACCGGGUGAACCAAGGCGAUGACUGGUGCUGAUGCAGUGCGAGAAGACGGUGCGGAAUGAAAACCGAUCGAUCAUCAUCGGAAUCCGUCGGAGCUGGAUCAACCGCGAUAGUACCGAGGCAUCAUCCAGGAAUCGACAAUUGGCGAACGAUACGCCGAGCAACUCGUCUCUUGGUAAACACUUGACAGAUUGAUUUCCCGCGUGGCGAUGCUGGGACCGGCCACACUGUGAUUUUCCACUUAUCGGCAACCUCGUGGUGUGCGCGAUACGUACGUUGUUUCAGGACCCAGACAAGCGGAUGAUAAUCCUUGGACCUGAAGACUUUAGUGACAAACCAUCCUCCAGGUCUGAGAAAUUGUGUGGCAACUUUAAGAGCCGACAGAGUCAAGCAGGUUUGCUGAUAGGCAUCGUGCAGCCAAUUUUUACCAACAUUUGGGGCUCCGUCGUUGAGAACAACGUCAGCCUUCCACGUUUUCAACUCUCGGGAGAUGGCGACACGACAUUUGUCCGUUGUAAUGUCUUCGGUAAUGCUGAUACAGCCGGGUAUCGGUUUUAUCGGAAAUAGAUCUAUGCCGAUGACGAUUGACGACACGGGCAUGUUCUGCCGGGCGACUUGCAUCCAACCACCAGGAGCAGCGCAGAGAUCUAUGCAUACUCUGGACUUUUGCAAGAAUUCGAAUUUACGAUUGAGUUGGAUCAACUUGAACGCCGCACGAGAUCUGAAACCUGGGUUAUGGAGCACAAGAGGUUAUGUUAAUCGCUAACGUGCGCUGGUGCUGGACGCUUGCGACAGCCGACGAUACUCUGCGAUGGGGUCUUGUGAGUUUCGAAUAAGCGUAACUUGCCAACACAUGAUAUAUCAAAGCGCGG